CCUCGCUCGCUCUCUCCCUCACAAACCCCUCUCUGUCUUGCAACCUCUCCCUCCCCCCCAUGAACCUCUCUCCCUCGCCGCCACCCACCACCCACAUCGGCCAGUUCCGUCGAGCUUCGGCGGCGCGUAUCACACCCCCGAGCUCCCCUAUGUCCGCACCUCCUUCCCCUCCGGCUAGAAUCAGCACUCAAGCCGUCCACCAGCCCCCGUGGUAGCUAGGGUUUCGGCCGCCACCCCUUACCUGGCCGGGAUCCGCCACAUCCGGCGACGUCGAGGCCAGCGGGCGCCGGAUCCGUCACCGGCGUGCCCAGGUUGGUCCCUCUCCUUCUUGUUCGCCCCACCCUCUUCUCCUCACCUCACCUAUUCUUUCCUGUGAUUUCCUUUCAUGCAUAUCCAUGGCGCGAACGGAAGAAGCAGGACAGGCACAGAUGGAGGAACACCGUCUUCAUCCCCUGCCCCGACGCCAAAGGUGAUUGCGUCAAAAAUAUGGAGGCGUUCAGGAAGCGGGCGGGCAAGUUCAAGGAGCAAGUUGCCAAGCAGCAGCAGAUAAUAUAUUUGAGUGCGCGGAUGCCGGAGGGGUCGUGCCUGAGGAGACCGAGCUCGCCAUGCUGCUCCUUUUCAAUGCCAACAAGGGAAGGGCCGACGAGGAGAACAGGGUCCCUACACCAAGAGGUAACUGGCGCAACAGCUGUAACUUGAGACGCUGGACUGGAGGAAGGAUCAUGAGGAGAACAACUACACAAUGUUGUGGAUGAACAGGAUGAUGGGAGGGUGAAUCAGAUCUAGGAGCACAUCGACUAGGAGGUUUGCCGACACGACAAGUACCGUAUAUGUGUCUACUCAUCCAACCUGUUGUUCUCGCAGAUUUUCACCUAGGGCAUUUGCAUCCCCAUGAUUAGGCGUGAUUGUCAGGUCCUUAAAUGGAGAACAUUCUUCUGAUCGUAAUGGAGAUGCAGGUGGAUGAUGAUUAUUCAUCUGUGUGAAGGACGAAAUGCUUCUCGGAAUUCUUAAAGAGGAAGACAAUGGAGCCAUGAUGUUGUUGUGCAACAGGCUAUGUUUUCUGUAAUACCAUUUGUCUUGGCUGUGUAUCUUACUUUGUGUGUGCUGGGAUACUCAAAAAGCUAUCUCUGUAAUUUAAAUCUGUGUUAUGUUGUCUGGCGUGUGUAACCUUAUUUUGUGUGUGCUGGGAUACUCAAAAAGAUAUCUGUCUAAUUUAAAUCUGUGUUAUGUUGUA